rnacentral:rRNA from 1 species
ACGAACGCUGGCGGCGUGCUUAACACAUGCAAGUCGAACGAGAAUCUACUGAAGGAGGAUUCGUCCAACGGAUGUAGAGGAAAGUGGCGGACGGGUGAGUAACGCGUGAGGAACCUGCCUUGAAGAGGGGGACAACAGUUGGAAACGACUGCUAAUACCGCAUGAAGCAUAGGGGUCGCAUGAUCUUUAUGCCAAAGAUUUAUCGCUUCAAGAUGGCCUCGCGUCUGAUUAGCUAGUUGGCGGGGUAACGGCCCACCAAGGCGACGAUCAGUAGCCGGACUGAGAGGUUGAACGGCCACAUUGGGACUGAGAUACGGCCCAGACUCCUACGGGAGGCAGCAGUGGGGAAUAUUGGGCAAUGGGCGCAAGCCUGACCCAGCAACGCCGCGUGAAGGAAGAAGGCUUUCGGGUUGUAAACUUCUUUUAAGAGGGAAGAGCAGAAGACGGUACCUCUAGAAUAAGCCACGGCUAACUACGUGCCAGCAGCCGCGGUAAUACGUAGGUGGCAAGCGUUGUCCGGAUUUACUGGGUGUAAAGGGCGUGCAGCCGGGUCUGCAAGUCAGAUGUGAAAUCCAUGGGCUCAACCCAUGAACUGCAUUUGAAACUGUAGAUCUUGAGUGUCGGAGGGGCAAUCGGAAUUCCUAGUGUAGCGGUGAAAUGCGUAGAUAUUAGGAGGAACACCAGUGGCGAAGGCGGAUUGCUGGACGAUAACUGACGGUGAGGCGCGAAAGUGUGGGGAGCAAACAGGAUUAGAUACCCUGGUAGUCCACACUGUAAACGAUGAAUACUAGGUGUGCGGGGACUGACCCCCUGCGUGCCGCAGUAAACACAAUAAGUAUUCCACCUGGGGAGUACGAUCGCAAGGUUGAAACUCAAAGGAAUUGACGGGGGCCCGCACAAGCGGUGGAUUAUGUGGUUUAAUUCGAAGCAACGCGAAGAACCUUACCAGGGUUUGACAUCCUGCUAACGAAGUAGAGAUACAUUAGGUGCCCUUCGGGGAAAGCAGAGACAGGUGGUGCAUGGUUGUCGUCAGCUCGUGUCGUGAGAUGUUGGGUUAAGUCCCGCAACGAGCGCAACCCUUAUCUUUAGUAGCCAGCGGUCCGGCCGGGCACUCUAGAGAGACUGCCAGGGAUAACCUGGAGGAAGGCGGGGAUGACGUCAAAUCAUCAUGCCCCUUAUGACCUGGGCUACACACGUGCUACAAUGGCGUAAACAAAGGGAAGCGACCCCGUGAGGGCAAGCAUAUCUCAAAAAUAACGUCUCAGUUCGGAUUGUAGUCUGCAACUCGACUACAUGAAGCUGGAAUCGCUAGUAAUCGCGGAUCAGCAUGCCGCGGUGAAUACGUUCCCGGGCCUUGUACACACCGCCCGUCACACCAUGAGAGUCGGGAACACCCGAAGUCCGUAGCCUAACCUGAAAAGGAGGGCGCGGCCGAAGGUGGGUUCGAUAAUUGGGGUG